rnacentral:rRNA from 1 species
GAUGAACGCUGGCGGCGUGCCUAACACAUGCAAGUCGAACGAUGAAACCGCCCUCGGGCGGACAUGAAGUGGCGAACGGGUGAGUAACACGUGACCGACCUGCCCCCCGCCCAGGGACAGCCCCCCGAAAGGGGGAUUAAUACCUGGUACUCCGGAAGCGGCGCAUGCCGCCCCCGGGAAAGCUCUGGCGGCGGGGGAUGGGGUCGCGGCCCAUCAGGUAGACGGCGGGGCAGAGGCCCACCGUGCCGACGACGGGUAGCCGGGUUGAGAGACCGACCGGCCACAUUGGGACUGAGAUACGGCCCAGACUCCUACGGGAGGCAGCAGUGGGGAAUUUUGCGCAAUGGGGGCAACCCUGACGCAGCAACGCCGCGUGCGGGACGAAGGCGUCCGCGUCGUAAACCGCUUUCAGCGGGGAACACCUAACGAGGGUACCCGCAGAAGAAGCCCCGGCUAAAUACGUGCCAGCAGCCGCGGUAACAC